rnacentral:rRNA from 1 species
GACGAACGCUGGCGGCGUGCUUAACACAUGCCAGUCGAACGGAAAGGCCCUGCUUUUGUGGGGUGCUCGAGUGGCGAACGGGUGAGUAACACGUGAGUAACCUGCCCUUGACUUUGGGAUAACUUCAGGAAACUGGGGCUAAUACCGGAUAGGAGCUCCUGCUGCAUGGUGGGGGUUGGAAAGUUUCGGCGGUUGGGGAUGGACUCGCGGCUUAUCAGCUUGUUGGUGGGGUAGUGGCUUACCAAGGCUUUGACGGGUAGCCGGCCUGAGAGGGUGACCGGCCACAUUGGGACUGAGAUACGGCCCAGACUCCGACGGGAGGCAGCAGUGGGGAAUAUUGCACAAGGGGCGGAAGCCGGAUGCAGCAACGCCGCGUGCGGGAUGACGGCCUUCGGGUUGUAAACCGCUUUCGCCUGUGACGAAGCGUGAGUGACGGUAAUGGGUAAAGAAGCACCGGCUAACUACGUG